rnacentral:rRNA from 1 species
UGAGGAAUAUUGGUCAAUGGACGCGAGUCUGAACCAGCCAAGUAGCGUGAAGGAUGACUGCCCUAUGGGUUGUAAACUUCUUUUAUAUGGGAAUAAAGUGGUCCACGUGUGGACUUUUGUAUGUACCAUAUGAAUAAGCAUCGGCUAACUCCGUGCCAGCAGCCGCGGUAAUACGGAGGAUGCGAGCGUUAUCCGGAUUUAUUGGGUUUAAAGGGAGCGUAGACGGGCCGUUAAGUCAGCUGUGAAAGUUUGAGGCUCAACCUUAAAAUUGCAGUUGAUACUGGCGUCCUUGAGUACGGUUGAGGCAGGCGGAAUUCGUGGUGUAGCGGUGAAAUGCUUAGAUAUCACGAAGAACCCCGAUUGCGAAGGCAGCCUGCUAAACCGCCACUGACGUUGAGGCUCGAAAGUGUGGGUAUCAAACAGGAUUAGAUACCCUGGUAGUCCACACGGUAAACGAUGGAUACUCGCUGUUGGCGAUAGACUGUCAGCGGCUUAGCGAAAGCGUUAAGUAUCCCACCUGGGGAGUACGCCGGCAACGGUGAAACUCAAAGGAAUUGACGGGGGCCCGCACAAGCGGAGGAACAUGUGGUUUAAUUCGAUGAUACGCGAGGAACCUUACCCGGGCUUGAAUUGCAGACGAAUUGCUUGGAAACAGGCAAGCCGCAAGGCGUCUGUGAAGGUGCUGCAUGGUUGUCGUCAGCUCGUGCCGUGAGGUGUCGGCUUAAGUACCAUAACGAGCGCAACCCUCGUGUCCAGUUACUAGCAGGUUAUGCUGAGGACUCUGGACAGACUGCCAUCGUAAGAUGUGAGGAAGGUGGGGAUGACGUCAAAUCAGCACGGCCCUUACGUCCGGGGCUACACACGUGUUACAAUGGGGGGUACAGCAGGCAGCUACCGGGCGACCGGAUGCCAAUCCCGAAAGCCUCUCUCAGUUCGGACUGGAGUCUGCAACCCGACUCCACGAAGCUGGAUUCGCUAGUAAUCGCGCAUCAGCCACGGCGCGGUGAAUACGUUCCC